UCCUCACAUGCCUGUGAUGAGAUGACUGGCAGCAGCUAUCCAGGUGGGGAAGGGUUGUAUCAGAGCCUGCUUCCCUCAGAGCUGCCAGGUUUCACCUGCUUCCUGGGAUGCAGGAGGGUCCCACAGCUCUGGGUGUUCAGAGUGGAUUGGCAGCUGGAUGGGUCAGGAAACCUGCAAGUGGAAGGAGAUUUGUAAAUCUCCCAUUCAAUUUUCUCCUGCAUUUUGAUGGCAUAUGGGGUUUGGAGAUUUUGGGGAACUGGCAGAAGAAGAAAGAGGUGAGAGAGGUUACACCAUCAUUUUCUACAAAUAAGGCAUUUCCAUGAUGAUACUGAACACAACAAGAGGUGGAAAUUUGUCUCUUGCUGCUGAUCCUGACCCUUUUGCUUUUGGAAAAAACACCAGCUCCUCCUCUGCUUGAGUUCCCAUAGAAGUGAAAUGAGCUGCUGCCACCAGAACAAAUGUUUACAUUGUCUCUGUGCAAGCCACACACUCCGAUGACAGGAAGAAGUUGUGGCCACCCAGCCUAACACCCAGGCUCAUGUCAGCACAUUCACCUGCAAUUCAGGAACUUGUGCUCCUGAAUCCUCCACACUUUUAAGAUGGUUAAAGAACGGAGGAAAUAACCAAGCUGAUCCUAAACCUGCCGGAAUAUCUUAAAGGAUUGUGGACAAACCAUUGUGUCUCAAGUCUUGUAAAAAGUCACCCCUGGAUUUAGCCAUUUGGGGAAGAAUUGAUGAAUCUUCUUCAUGCUAAAAUGUCUUCACAAGGGAAUCACAUCACAACCUUUAAAGGACAAGUGUCGCUUCCUUGCGCAAGUGUGCUCUCAGCCUUGCUCUUCAAAGUUCAGAUCAAGUGAUGCUGCCAAGAUGUAUCCUUCUGUGGCAAAUAAUUCACAGAUGCCAGCUCGUUGGAGAAUCCAAAAGCUUUGUCUUAUGCCAGGGUAACUUCAGCAGUAUUUUCCAGAGCUGUGGAUUAAGUUUGCUGAAGCAAAAAAAUGACGAUGUGUCUGAUCUAUUUCAGCGGCGCUGCCAGACGUGAAGAUGAUUCAUCAGUGUUCCCUCUUUAAUAGUGACUAUCUCCAGUGGGCAGUAAAGAAUGACCAAACUGACUAUCAGAUGGCAAGGAGCACAAGUUGGAACAGCAUUUGCCUUGCUCACUUUGUACUCGAUUGUGUAUCCAGGCGUUCCUGUCUAGACUUGCAGGGGUUGCUCGAGCAUUUAAUUACUUGAAUCCCAAUGAGCUGAAACUGCUUGGUUCAGGAGAUAGCAUAAUAAAGGCAUUCUCCUGAGGUGGCUAUAUCAAUUUUUUAAGCUUUACUGAUGAGCUAGAAAUAGUCACAGAUUUUAAAUGUUGACAUUGAUUAUAUUCAAAAAGCAUGGGAAAAAUGAGCUUACAUUUUCUGCUACGCCCGUGCUCCUUCAGGAGCAGCAAAAGAAGGGAAUGUGGACUUUACAUGGAACUACCUAAUUUUCUGUCCUACUAUACAUCAGCUUUGGCCACUGUUGCACCAAACUACACCAUACAGUGGUCCCAAAAGGGAACAGUGGUGCUAAGCCCUCCCACUCCUCUAUCACUGUGUAACCACAUCAAGGAAUGGGAGAAAUGACUUCACAUGAGCUCAAGUUUUUCAGUGCCUGAAGUAAUCUGACUAGCGGUGUCUUGCCAAUAUCAAGGUGGCAAGAUGGAUCAGACUAGCUAAGAGACUCAGGGAAGAGGGAAAUGUAAAAUAUUGCAAACUUGGAUUCUGCAUUUCACAAGUAUUUGAGGAAAUAUGAAUGUCUUCCAGGUUUGUGUGUGAGUGGGGUAUCUGGUAUCCAACUAAGCAUACAGCAACCUUGUGUCAGGUAAUAAUUGUAAUUGUAAAUGAGACAAUUGUCUCAAAUUUGCUCCUUCACAAUCUUCGUAUGGGAUUUUUCAGUGCUUUUUGUUUGUUGGUUUGUUUGUUGGGUUUUUUUAAUAGCUUUUCCCAUAGACAGGGUGAAGGUUUCCCAUGUGGUAGAAGAAAAAGGGCAUGGACUUGGCAUGCAAAUCCAACUGGAGAAAAACUUUGCCAAAGAAGUCCAGGUAGUUCAGUGACUCAUGUAAAAUAUAGCUUGACAUUUGAGCAUGCAAGAUGAUUUGUGGCAUGUGGCUUAAACAACUCACAAUUUUUUUAUGUCUCUU